GAUGAACGCUGGCGGCGUGCCUAAUACAUGCAAGUCGAGCGAACGGACGAGAAGCUUGCUUUUCUGAUGUUAGCGGCGGACGGGUGAGUAACACGUGGAUAACCUACCUAUAAGACUGGGAUAACUUCGGGAAACCGGAGCUAAUACCGGAUAAUAUUUUGAACCGCAUGGUUCAAAAGUGAAAGACGGUCUUGCUGUCACUUAUAGAUGGAUCCGCGCUGCAUUAGCUAGUUGGUAAGGUAACGGCUUACCAAGGCAACGAUGCAUAGCCGACCUGAGAGGGUGAUCGGCCACACUGGAACUGAGACACGAUCCAGACUCCUACGGGAGGCAGCAGUAGUGAAUCUUCCGCAAUGGGCGAAAGCCUGACGGAGCAACGCCGCGUGAGUGAUGAAGGUCUUCGGAUCGUAAAACUCUGUUAUUAGUGAAGAACAUAUGUGUAAGUAACUGUGCACAUCGUGACGGUACCUAAUCAGAAAGCCACGGCUAACUACGUG
rnacentral:rRNA from 1 species